AACGCUAGCUACAGGCUUAACACAUGCAAGUCGCGGGGCAGCAUGAAUUUAGCUUGCUAAAUUUGAUGGCGACCGGCGCACGGGUGAGUAACGCGUAUCCAACCUUCCCUUAUCCACGGGAUAGCCCGUCGAAAGGCGGAUUAAUACCGUAUGAGGUCAUUUGAUGGCAUCUGAUUAUGACGAAAGGUUUAGCGGAUAAGGAUGGGGAUGCGUCCGAUUAGCUUGUUGGCGGGGUAACGGCCCACCAAGGCGACGAUCGGUAGGGGUUCUGAGAGGAAGGUCCCCCACAUUGGAACUGAGACACGGUCCAAACUCCUACGGGAGGCAGCAGUGAGGAAUAUUGGUCAAUGGGCGAGAGCCUGAACCAGCCAAGUAGCGUGCAGGAUGACGGCCCUAUGGGUUGUAAACUGCUUUUAUGCGGGGAUAAAGUGAGGGAUGCAUCCCUUUUUGCAGGUACCGCAUGAAUAAGGACCGGCUAAUUCCGUGCCAGCAGCCGCGGUAAUACGGAAGGUCCGGGCGUUAUCCGGAUUUAUUGGGUUUAAAGGGAGCGUAGGCCGUCGUUUAAGCGUGUUGUGAAAUGCCGCGGCUCAACCGUGGCACUGCAGCGCGAACUGGAUGACUUGAGUUCGCGGGAGGUAGGCGGAAUUCGUGGUGUAGCGGUGAAAUGCUUAGAUAUCACGAAGAACUCCGAUUG
rnacentral:rRNA from 1 species